UUCGCCCUUAGAGUUUGAUCCUGGCUCAGAGCGAACGCUGGCGGCAGGCUUAACACAUGCAAGUCGAACGGGCUUCUUCGGAAGUCAGUGGCAGACGGGUGAGUAACACGUGGGAACGUGCCCUUCGGUUCGGAAUAACUCAGGGAAACUUGAGCUAAUACCGGAUACGCCCUUAUGGGGAAAGGUUUACUGCCGAAGGAUCGGCCCGCGUCUGAUUAGCUUGUUGGUGGGGUAACGGCCUACCAAGGCGACGAUCAGUAGCUGGUCUGAGAGGAUGAUCAGCCACACUGGGACUGAGACACGGCCCA
rnacentral:rRNA from 1 species